AUGAGCGGUGCCCCCGGCGGGCCCCGGCCGAGGACCCCGCCGAGCCGCGGAGCCGCGGCCGCCCCGUCGCCCCGGCCGCCUCCCGCCGACCCGCUGCGCCAGGCCAGCCGGCUGCCCAUCCGCGUCCUGAAGAUGCUCAGCGCCCACGGCGGCCACCUCCUGCACCCCGAGUACCUCCAGCCGCUCUCCUCCACGCCCGUCAGCCCCAUCGAGCUGGACGCCAAGAAGAGCCCGCUGGCGCUGCUGGCCCAGACCUGCUCGCAGAUCGGCAAACCGGACCCGCCGCCCUCCUCCAAGCUGAACGCCGUGGCCUCCGCCGGGCUGCCCGCCGCCGAGAAGGAGCCCACCGCCCGCCCCGCCGCCCUGAAGCCCCCGGGCAGCGGGGACGCGCCCCCCGAGGACAAGUCCAGCUUUAAGCCCUACUCGAAGGGUGGCGGGGAGCCCCGCAAGGAGGGCGGCGCGGACAAGGCCGGCUUUCGGGUGCCCAGCGCUGCUUGCCCGCCGUUCCCCCCGCACGCCGCCGCCGCCUCGCCCGGCAGCUCCCGCGGCGCCUCGCCGCAGCACGCCGACCCCAAGGGCGCCGAGGAGAAGAAGGAGCCCGAGGCGGGCAAGCCCAGCCCCGAGGGGACGGGCGGGGGGCUGGGGCGCGGGGUGGCGGAACCCGGGGCGCACGGAGAGCCCCCCUCGGGCCGCAAGUCGGAGCCCCCCGCCCUGCCGCCCGCCGGCCAUGUGGCCCCCGUCUCGCCCUACAAGCCGGGUCAUUCCGUCUUCCCCCUGCCGCCUUCCAGCAUCGGCUACCACGGCUCCAUCGUCGGCGCCUACGCCGGCUACCCGUCCCAGUUCGUGCCCGGGCUGGACCCCACCAAGCCGGGCCUGGUGGGCAGCCAGCUGCCGGGGGCUCUGGGGCUGCCGGGGAAGCCGCCCAGCUCCAGCCCGCUCACCGGGGCCUCGCCGCCCUCCUUCAUGCAGGGAUUAUGCCGGGACCCGUAUUGCCUGAGCUACCACAGCGCCUCGCACCUGGGCUCCAGCAACUGCUCCAGCUGCGUGCACGACCCCGGCAGCCUGAAGAGCGGAUACCCCUUGGUGUACCCCACGCACCCCCUGCACUCGGUGCACACCACGCUCUCCUCCAGCGGCACCCCCAGCCUGCCCGCCCACCCCCUCUACACCUACGGCUUCAUGCUGCAGAACGACCCCCUGCCCCACAUAUGCAACUGGGUGUCUGCCAGCGGACCCUGCGACAAGAGGUUUGCCACCUCGGAGGAGCUGCUCACCCACCUACGGACCCACACCGCCUUGCCGGGGGCGGAAAAACUCUUGGCGGGUUACCCUACCUCCGGGCUGGGCUCCGCAGCCUCCUGCCACCUCCACCUCCCGCCCGCCGCCCCCGGGAGCCCCAACACGUUACCCGCCUCCCUCUCCUUGAGGAGCCCACACACUUUGGGACUAAACAGGUACCACCCCUACGGCAAGAGCCACUUGCCCACGGCCGGGGCCCUGCCGGUGCCCUCCUUGCCAGCCGCCGGACCUUACUACUCUCCAUACGCGCUCUACGGCCAAAGACUAACUUCAGCUUCUGCACUGGGAUAUCAGUAACUACAGCAGCCCCUUCCCCUGCUCCAGCCUCCUCCUCCUCACCCCAACACCCCCCCCCCCCAGCCCCUCCCGCUCCUCCCUUGGACUGUGUAUUUAUUUACUGUAUGUUAGCUUAAAGCUGGGAAUAUAAGUGCAUUAAUACACCAAUGAAUCAAUGGUAUGCAAAAAGUCUGUGUCCAAAACAAAAACAACAAAAAAAAAAAAAAAAAAAAGAAAAAAAAAGAAAAAAAAAAAUUCUUUACUUUGCAGGUGUGGGGCUUUUAUUUUUACUAUUUUUCCCUUCGGUUUCUUUUGAACUUCUUUUUUUCCUCCCCCUUCUUAAUUCCCCCUCCCCUGAGAAAUUCUUGCAUGAUUCCUGACAUACAAGGAAAAAAAAAAAAUAAUAAGGCGGCAUUUUCCUCCUCCCCCUCCACGUUUAUCAUUCUGGGAUUCUGUUCCUCUUCAUUUGUAAAGUUAACAGAUGUAAUUUUUUUCAAUUUUUUUUUUCCCAAUUUUUUUUUUUUUUUUUUUUUUUUGGAAAUGUGUUUGGGGACGGCGGCCGGACGGUCCAAGGCCUGGCCGCCCCGACCCCCGUCCCACGCCGCGGCUCUGCCUCGGGCAGCCCCACCCGCACCGCUCCCACCCGCGGCCGGGCCCCGCCGUGGGAAGCAGGACCGGGGGUGCGCGCGUGUGUGUGUGUGUGCGUGUGUGUCCCACACCCCACACCCCCCCCCCCAAACCCCGGGCGGGGGGGGGGCCCCGACGAGCGGCGGCUCCAGGACCGGUGCGCACCGGGAGGGCGGCGAGCGUGGCGGGUGGAUGAGCUCCGGCUUGAUCAGACCGAGUCGCUGCAUCUCCUGCACUUGGGACGUGACAGCACUGCUCCGUGCCUGGACCCUCCGCGCGCAUCCCCCCGGGGCGGCUCCGGGGGGCUUGGGAAAAGGCGAUGGAUGUUCCGUGCGGGUCGCUGGGGACUGCGCCGUCCACGCCACCACCCGUGCCAGGCACGUCCCUGUCCCCAGGCUCUCCCGUCCCCCCCCCGGAGAGCCGUGCUCAGCGGAGCAGCCGGACCCUUCAGGACUGUCAGCGGAUGAUUAAUGGCCAACAACUCCGAAACUGCCCCCCAUGGCCAGUUUGGGUUUUGUUUGACCCGGUGCUUAAUGAGUUCAGACACACUCCUGCGAGCCGCUUCACGUGGGCAGCUGGGCAGUCUCAUGGAGCCCGGUGGGGUGGGGGGUACACGCAUGUCCCCCACCCAAACCGCCCUGUGCUCCUGCCGCGUCUCGCUUGGGGCGCGCAACAUCGGGGAUCGCACCGAGCUAAUGUGAGACACCCCGAAACUGAACUCCAGCUGCCGGGGCGCGGGCCGGGCAGGGAUGCUGGGUUUGGGGUGAGAGACCCCAGCGAACCUGCAGCGAUGGGCAGCGCAGGAGCCGGCCCCUUGGCUCCCCCCGAUCCUGCUGCCUCCGCGGGACUCACGGGGAAGCGCCAUUUCGGGGGGUCAGCGCCCGGCCGGGCUUUUGACCGACAGCCACAUUCCUUUGUCCUGAUUUUAUUCGUUAGCAGCGUUUGGCCUGGACACAGAGACAGCUAAUGAGGGACUGAGUUUAUUGCAGUUUGAUUUUUCUGUUAAAACAAUACAAUAAAAUAAAUGCACUUGGAAA